UUCCUGAGUUCCGCCUAAGGAUUUCUUCGUCCUCCAUCCUAUGGCUUCAGUGCAAAGCUGCUCCAGCUGUUGGAAAGUGCUCCUCUAAGCCCCGUGGCCUUUGAUUUCCCUAACAGCUGUCUUUUCCAGUUCUUAAGCCAAUCGAAGCCAGCAUGUUGUCUCAUUGAGCGUCUGCGCAGGUUCUGAGCUCAUCCCAUUGGUGUAUGUGUCUUGUUUGCUGGCGGUGGCCGUGCAGAUGAUGGGUGCUUUGUCCCUGAGGUGGAGACCUUCCAGAUGAGAAAACCAAGGCUCAGAA